rnacentral:rRNA from 1 species
CUGGCUCAGGACGAACGCUGGCGGCUUGCUUAACCACAUGCAAGUCGAACGAUGACGGUGGUGCUUGCACCGCCUGAUUAGUGGCGAACGGGUGAGUAACACGUGAGUAACCUGCCCUCCACUUCGGGAUAACCUCGGGAAAUCGUGGCUAAUACCGGAUAUGAGCACUCAUCGCAUGGUGGGUGUUGGAAAGAUUUAUCGGUGGUGGAUGGACUCGCGGCCUAUCAGUUUGUUGGUGAGGUGAUGGCUCACCAAGACGAUGACGGGUAGCCGGCCUGAGAGGGCGACCGGCCACACUGGGACUGAGACACGGCCCAGACUCCUACGGGAGGCAGCAGUGGGGAAUAUUGCACAAUGGGCGAAAGCCUGAUGCAGCGACGCCGCGUGGGGGAUGACGGCCUUCGGGUUGUAAACCCCUUUCAGUAGGGAAGAAGCGAGAGUGACGGUACCUGCAGAAGAAGCGCCGGCUAACUACGUGCCAGCAGCCGCGGUAAUACGUAGGGCGCAAGCGUUGUCCGGAAUUAUUGGGCGUAAAGAGCUUGUAGGUGGCUUGUCGCGUCUGCCGUGAAAACCCGAGGCUCAACCUCGGGCGUGCGGUGGGUACGGGCAGGCUAGAGUGUGGUAGGGGAGACUGGAACUCCUGGUGUAGCGGUGAAAUGCGCAGAUAUCAGGAAGAACACCGAUGGCGAAGGCAGGUCUCUGGGCCAUUACUGACACUGAGAAGCGAAAGCAUGGGUAGCGAACAGGAUUAGAUACCCUGGUAGUCCAUGCCGUAAACGUUGGGCACUAGGUGUGGGGGACAUUCCACGUUUUCCGCGCCGUAGCU